UGCAGUCGAGCGAAUGGAUUAAGAGCUUGCUCUUAUGAAGUUAGCGGCGGACGGGUGAGUAACACGUGGGUAACCUGCCCAUAAGACUGGGAUAACUCCGGGAAACCGGGGCUAAUACCGGAUAACAUUUUGAACCGCAUGGUUCGAAAUUGAAAGGCGGCUUCGGCUGUCACUUAUGGAUGGACCCGCGUCGCAUUAGCUAGUUGGUGAGGUAACGGCUCACCAAGGCAACGAUGCGUAGCCGACCUGAGAGGGUGAUCGGCCACACUGGGACUGAGACACGGCCCAGACUCCUACGGGAGGCAGCAGUAGGGAAUCUUCCGCAAUGGACGAAAGUCUGACGGAGCAACGCCGCGUGAGUGAUGAAGGCUUUCGGGUCGUANAACUCUGUUGUUAGGGAAGAACAAGUGCUAGUUGAAUAAGCUGGCACCUUGACGGUACCUAACCAGAAAGCCACGGCUAACUACGUGCCAGCAGCCGCGGUAAUACGU
rnacentral:rRNA from 1 species